GCCCCUCUACCCAUUAUUAGGCUUGGCUUGUACCAAUUGCUAAAUACCGCCAAAAUCUUCCCAGGUUGCUAGGGAGAUAAGCAUGAAGGUCUUAAUAAAGUAAUUAAUGGGUAAAAUUGUGCAAAAAUGAUACCAUAAUCCAGUGAGGAAUGUUGAGAACUGAUUAUAUCUGACGAUAUCUGCAUAGCUCAUAAUGAAUUGGCUGAUAAAUUUGCUAAAUUGGAGGAGGAAAAUGCUAAAUGCAUAAUGCUAAAUUAGGAAUAAAAUUGCAGACCUGGAGGAUAGGUCACGCAGGAGUAAUGCACGAUUUAGAGGUGUGCAUGAUUCAAUAUCAGCAGAUAAAAUUGUGGAGUACAUUACUUCCUUCUGUACUACCCUGGUCCCGGCCAUGGAUAAGAGUAUAUGGGGGAUAGAGAGAGCCCAUAGACUACAAAGACCAUCAAGAAUCACCGGACUGGCUACUUUAAAAGAUUGGAGACUAGAUAAUAUAGAGGAAUCUACGUCUAUGCAAGAUGUUCUCCCUCAUCAUCUUCCUGCAGCCGGAAUGGAAGAUGGCAGGAAGACCUUCAGGAAAACCUUAAGUACCCUGAAAUAUAUCUUAAAGUUUUUUUCUUUUU